rnacentral:rRNA from 1 species
AGAGUUUGAUCAUGGCUCAGAACGAACGCUGGCGGCAGGCUUAACACAUGCAAGUCGAGCGCCCCGCAAGGGGAGCGGCAGACGGGUGAGUAACGCGUGGGAAUCUACCCAUCUCUACGGAACAACUCCGGGAAACUGGAGCUAAUACCGUAUACGUCCUUCGGGAGAAAGAUUUAUCGGAGAUGGAUGAGCCCGCGUUGGAUUAGCUAGUUGGUGGGGUAAUGGCCUACCAAGGCGACGAUCCAUAGCUGGUCUGAGAGGAUGAUCAGCCACACUGGGACUGAGACACGGCCCAGACUCCUACGGGAGGCAGCAGUGGGGAAUAUUGGACAAUGGGCGAAAGCCUGAUCCAGCCAUGCCGCGUGAGUGAUGAAGGCCCUAGGGUUGUAAAGCUCUUUCAACGGUGAAGAUAAUGACGGUAACCGUAGAAGAAGCCCCGGCUAACUUCGUGCCAGCAGCCGCGGUAAUACGAAGGGGGCUAGCGUUGUUCGGAAUUACUG